AUGUAUGUGGAGGAAGAUCUGUAUUGGCAUCAAUUCUCUAAUGAGAGAUGGCUCCUGAAAGGAGAUAACAAUACAGUCUUUUUUCACAAAGUAGCUAAUGGACGUCGUAGGAAACACUCCAUGAUCUCACUUGAAUGUGGAUCGAUCAUUAUAUAA
rnacentral:rRNA from 1 species